GCCUGUAGCCUUGAUAAGAUAUCUACAACUUAAUAUGUUUGUUACUCCACAAGAUCUUUCAAUCUGCGUUAAGACUUGGAUUAAGGAACAUUUGGAAAACUUGACGCACGACAUACACAUUUUUAUUUUGAAGUUCUGCUUUUGCUUUGAGCGAUGUCGGGAAGAAUUUACGUUCUGAUGGCAUUCGGCGGUAUAGCGGGGCUGAUCCUUGUUAUCGGUGGCAUAGUGUUCCUUGUUAAAUGCAUCACCGACAAAUGCUCAAACAUGAAAGUGAAGCCACAACCAAACGGUGUAAGCAACAUAGCAGUCUAAAUAUGAAGUUAAAUAUGAUCGCAUCGUAGGAGAGCAGUUUAUGCUUAUGUUGAAUAUUAUAGAUGCUUAUGACAAUUUAAUAUACUAAUGACUUAACACUAUACUUUAAACAUGUGUUAUUAACUAAACUUAUACAAUUUGGUAUGUCUAUUUAAAAUGUAAAUCAUUCUGAAGAUUGCAUUCAAGUA